AGUGAACGCUGGCGGUAGGCCUAACACAUGCAAGUCGAACGGCAGCACAGUAAGAGCUUGCUCUUACGGGUGGCGAGUGGCGGACGGGUGAGGAAUACAUCGGAAUCUACUUUUUCGUGGGGGAUAACGUAGGGAAACUUACGCUAAUACCGCAUACGACCUACGGGUGAAAGCAGGGGAUCUUCGGACCUUGCGCGAUUGAAUGAGCCGAUGUCGGAUUAGCUAGUUGGCGGGGUAAAGGCCCACCAAGGCGACGAUCCGUAGCUGGUCUGAGAGGAUGAUCAGCCACACUGGAACUGAGACACGGUCCAGACUCCUACGGGGGGCAGCAGUGGGGAAUAUUGGACAAUGGGCGCAAGCCUGAUCCAGCCAUACCGCGUGGGUGAAGAAGGCCUUCGGGUUGUAAAGCCCUUUUGUUGGGAAAGAAAAGCAGCAGGUUAAUACCCCGCUGUUCUGGCGGUACCCAAAGAAUAAGCACCGGCUAACUUCGUG
rnacentral:rRNA from 1 species